GACGAACGCUGGCGGCGUGCUUAACACAUGCAAGUCGAACGGAAAGGCCCUGCUUGCAGGGUACUCGAGUGGCGAACGGGUGAGUAACACGUGGGUGAUCUGCCCUGCACUUCGGGAUAAGCCUGGGAAACUGGGUCUAAUACCGGAUAGGAGCCAUUUUUAGUGUGAUGGUUGGAAAGUUUUUUCGGUGUAGGAUGAGCUCGCGGCCUAUCAGCUUGUUGGUGGGGUAAUGGCCUACCAAGGCGGCGACGGGUAGCCGGCCUGGGAGGGUGGACGGCCACAUUGGGACUGGGAUACGGCCCAGACUCCUACGGGAGGGAGCAGUGGGGAAGAUUGCACAAUGGGCGCAAGCCUGAUGCAGCGACGCCGCGUGGGGGAUGACGGCCUUCGGGUUGGAAACUCCUUUCGCUAGGGACGAAGCUUUUUGUGACGGUACCUAGAUAAGAAGCACCGGCUAACUACGUG
rnacentral:rRNA from 1 species